GGUAAACAACGCGCGGAGUUAAUGUUCUUGUAGUGUGUAUGAAACUAUCGGCUUUGCGCAGUAAAACAUGCUGUAAAUAAUCAUUUUUGACAUUGAUUUAACGGGAAUUAAAUAAAUCUCUGAAGUUCAUUCCAUGCUUGGACACGCCCUCUGAAAUCACUGAAGAUGUGGAACCACAAACAUAGAUAUAUUUGAUGUGUCGACUUAGACUGCAUGUUAAUUCCGUGCCGGAAGAAUACAUCAACUUACGUUGCUUGAUAGUAUGCAAGAUAUGAAGAUGACACUGCACAUAUAGAUAUCAAUGAGGAGAAAUGCGAUGCACAAGAACAAUAUCCAGCAAGAAAGGAUUAACCAUAGAAAUAAUCUUUUUUAGUAGAUUUGCACACAUCAAUACAAAAUGUAUUUAGAGGGGGG